UGUCCAGGGGCGGGAAUCGAACCCACAACCUUCUGCUUACCGGGCAGGUGCCAUGUCCACUAGGCUACCCUGGGC